rnacentral:rRNA from 1 species
UCGGAUUGCAGGCUGCAACCCGCCUGCAUGAAGCCGGAAUCGCUAGUAAUCGCGGAUCAGAAUGCCGCGGUGAAUACGUUCCCGGGUCUUGUACACACCGCCCGUCACACCAUGGGAGUCGGGAAUGCCCGAAGUCAGUGGCCCAACCGGAAGGGGGGAGCUGCCGAAGGCAGGCCCGGUGACUGGGGUGAAGUCGUAACAAGGUAAC